CACGUAGGGUGCGAGCGUUGUCCGGAAUUAUUGGGCGUAAAGAGCUCGUAGGCGGUGUGUCGCGUCGGCCGUGAAAACCUGCAGCUUAACUGUGGGCUUGCGGUCGAUACGGGCAUCACUGGAGUUCGGCAGGGGAGACUGGAAUUCCCGGUGUAGCGGUGAAAUGCGUAGAUAUCGGGAGGAAUACCUAUGGCGAAGGCAGGUUACUGGGCCAUCACUGACGCUGAGCUGCGAAAGCUAGGGGAGCAAACAGG
rnacentral:rRNA from 1 species